rnacentral:sRNA from 1 species
CAAGACUAUUAAACAGAUGCAGUCAUCAUUUACAUCUUCAGAACAAGAGCUAGAGCGAUUAAGAAGCGAAAAUAAGGAUAUUGAAAAUCUGAGAAGAGAACGAGAACAUUUGGAAAUGGAACUAGAAAAGGCAGAGAUGGAACGAUCUACCUAUGUUACAGAAGUCAGAGAGGUACUUAGAACAGAAUCUUUUCAAACUUGCUUCUCAAUUCAGAUUAAGUUUAUAACAGUGAUAUUUCAGUAUAAGUUGUUUGUGGCAGAGCUUCCGAGUAGCAUACAAAACAUGGGCUAUCAUAAGGAGAUCAAUCUUAAACUCUAAACUUCAUUGCAGCUGAAAGAUCUGUUGACUGAAUUGCAGAAAAAACUUGAUGAUUCAUAUUCUGAAGCAGUAAGACAGAAUGAAGAGCUAAAUUUGGUAAGAAGCUUGUCCUCCACUGGGUAUCAAGUAGGCACUGAAAACACUUUAUUGACAUGUGGAGAAACCAUCCAAGCUUUUUUUUCUUUGCUAACGUCUUUAGCUUGGCCUUUUUGUAAGUCUAAGAUAAUCUUCAUAUUCCAAUGAUUCCUAAGAUUAUCUUUCUUUUCUUGACUCCUAAAAUGAUCCUUCUUUUCUUAGCUCCUAACAAUGGCAUGUUUGGCUUCCAACUCUUUUUCAAAAUUUUCCAUGUUUUACAAAUCCUAUUUUCUCAAACAGCAGUCUUUUCUGUGAAUAAAGAAAUGAAAUAAAGAUUGGCUGAGUUACGAAGAUUUUCUUCUCAGACUAUCAUAGUUAAUGGGGCCUUUUAUUUUCUAACCUGGGAGAAGAUUAUAUUGAAAGUCAAAGACACAUAUUCUUCAUUCAAGGGCAGUAAUCUAAUCCAGUUUCUAAUUUUAACCUAGUCUCUCUAUAUAUUACAAAUAUUAAAAAGCAUAUAAGAGUCUUUAUUAUCAACAUAUUAUUUAGAGUAUAGUAAUCCUAAAAGCAUAGGCUUUGAGAUAAAGUUAGCUAAAUGUCUUAAAACAUAUAAUACCCUGUAUUCCUAUUCUCAAGUUUUCUAAAAACUGUACUGAUUGUGACAGACUUAGCUAUUAGACAAAUAUGGCUGUCUUGCUCUCUGUUUCAAACAGCAAUUGUUAUGUCUUCCUUGUGAGUUAAAAAUUGUUACAGCACAAGGAUUAGAUUUUUUUUUUAAGUACCUUAAUAAACUCUCAGAAGAUUACAGUAGUAAGUUUUUUCCUUACCCAAAGUUCACCCUGCCCAGUUUGGAAUUUUCUUGUUAGCAUUACUCCAUGUACCAAGAAAACUUUAACUCAUUCAUUUGUGGUUGGUAUCCUAUGUUAUGGCAAAAAUUUAUGGGAAUCAAUUUUUAGAGUAGAGCGGUAUGAAAUACAGGUUGCGUAUUCUUUAUCUGGAAUGCUUGGAACCAGCAAUUUUGGGGGGGAUUUUGGAUUAUUUGUAUUAUAUGCUUGCUCUGUAUGUGU